CUGAGACCAAGGCCAAUUUGGCCUGGAAGUGCUUCAAUUUCACCAAAACCGUGAAGAACCCUAGAAUUGGGUGUUUCCAAUUCGACCUUCAAACUUGUUCCAACGCCUCAAUUACCUCUUGGGCUUUGUUUUAGGUCCUAAGGGAAUGCUAAUGGUGUUAGUAAUUGAAAGAAAACAUUUCAAAAUUUGGAGAAUUUAAACAAAAGGGUCGCGGCACCCGUAGGGGUGUUCUUCGCGAAAUCACAACGAAAUUCAAUGAUUCUUGGGGGUGAAACGUGAAGAGGGAAGGCCUAGAUGAUGAUUAGGAGUGGUACCUUGAUUCAAUUCGUCGGAAAAUUGGACGAAAAUGGCGAAAACCCGCCGAUUGGAAGUCGCGGGUCGCGCGGGUAUACGGGUUGGGGAAAACCCAUUUCUUCCUUCUCUCCUCCGCUUCUCGCCCCUCUCUCCUUUCCUCCUUUCCUUCCUCUAGUUGGUCAGCUUCUCCCUCUCUCUUCUCCCCAUUCGGUCUCUCCUCCUUCUUCUCCGAUUGGGCAGCUUUGCCCAAUCCCUCUUCUUUUCUAUUUUCUUCUCACGCACACACACACACACAAAACUUUCUCUCAUCCCAACCAUCCAUUUCAUUCAUCAUUAAAUCUGGGCCGUCCAUUUUCAUAAAAGAAUUUCUAUAUUUUACUAAAAUUAUAAUUCCUUAAAAUCCCAACUUCAAACUUUAAUAACUUCUUCGAUAUAACUUCAAAUCACGAACCGUCUGCGCCCACGCGUCCGUAACGACGAGUACUACGGGGAUAUGUCAAGAAAACAAAUCUUAGAUGGCACGACAUGGUGAUUAACCUCGAAUAAUGCACGUACCUUCAAAGGGCAUUUUUGUAAAAUCCUUUAUUAAAACUUUAAAAAUUCUUAAAAUUAGGGACGGGCUGUCACAAUCUACCCACCUUACAGAAAUUUCGUCCUCGAAAUUUACACAAUCUUUACAAUCCGUCAAUAUCCAUGAAACAGCCCGAAACACAUCUCUCUCAUUCGAUUCUUUGAUUUCUAAGUAGCUUCUUCCACUGAAAGAUUCCUCCAUAAACUUUCACCAAACUCAUAGUCUUAUUUCUCAGUACAUCAUCUUUCUAAUACAAGAUAGGCACUGGCUCCUCAUCAUACGUCAAAUCCAUAUUGACUUCCAAAGGUUGAGAAGGUAUCACUCGUGAAGGAUAUGAGGUUUAAUGUCGAAGUAUCGAAACAUAAAACAUAUCAUGCCCUUUCAUCGGCUCUGGAGGCAACUCAGCCCGUACGUAACUUCACUGACUCGUUCAAUGAUCACAGAUGGUCUGACGUAUCUAGGACUUACUUGUUUUUUCUUUUUUUAAAACGAAUCAUACUUUUCCAAGGUGAUAAUUUCAAAAUCAUUCGAUCACCUACAUAUACAUCCGGUCAGUGGCAUGUUUGUCUGCUAAGCUCUUCAGCCGAUCCUGGCCCACUUCCAGGUUAGACUUAAUUACUUGAAUAUUCCGAAUAGUCUCAUCCACUAACUCAGGGCCUUGAAUACUAUCCGUCCCCAAUUCUAACAAUUUCGAAACACAAGACAUAGCUUUACACGGCCUUAUGGCGUUACUCUAGGGAACAAACUGAAGGGACCAACAUACCCAAGAAGUUUAACAGAUCCCAAAUCUCUUUUUCCAUAAAACAAAUAAAUAACUGUUGCGCUUAUCUGGAAAGGUUGAUGUUCUCAUACUGAAGUAACAUACGUUGACGUCACCAGCCGAUCAAUUAUUAUUCAAAUUCCAACCUAACUAUUUUGUAUACGAGGAAGCUUGUCCACGAAAUCCAUAGUAAUAUUCUCCCAUUUCCACCGUGGAAUGGGAAAUGACUACAUUAUUCCAAAAGACUUAUUUCUUUCUGCUUUAACCUGAUGACUGAUGAUACGCCUACUAACAUACUUCGCCAUUCCUCUUUUCAUACCCGUCAAUAGUACAUGAACGAAUGGUAUGAUAAAUCUUAGUACUUUUGGGAUGCAUUGUAGAAGUGGAAUAAUGUACAUCGUCAAAAUUGCUUUCUUUAAUUCCACACCAUUAGGCAUAAACACUUUGUUCUUUUGCGUAGGCUUGCCAUCUGAUUCUCUAACUCUAAGGUCUUUCUUUUUCCCGUUAUUCCUUGCUUUAAAUAAAUUCUUGAAUUUCUUCGUCAAACGCUCGAGUAUCGAGUACGAUCUACCAAAUGGGUCCAACUUAGAAAUUAGCAAGUAAGGCUUCUUCUCGAUUUUUGAUACUCAACUUUACUCCAGUAGAUUUCAAAUCCACAAGAAGAUGAACAUAGCAAGCGUACCAAGCAUUAAUUCUCACUGGGGUCUUCCUACUAAAUGCAUCAGCCACAACAUUAGCUUGACCACCCUCGUCACACAAUCAUAAUCACUAAGCAACUCAUUCCACCUUUGUUGCCUAAGAUUAAGAUACCUCUGAAUAAACAGAUAUUGGGUACUCUUUUGAUUUGUAACAAUCAUGCACUUUUCUUCCCAUAAAGACAAUGUCUCCAAAUUCUCAAAGCAAAGAUGAUAGCUGCUAAUUCCAAAUUAUAAUUAGGGUAAUUCAUCUUAUGAGAUCCCAAUGGCCAUGAAGCAUAGGCAAUCAUCCUACCAUGUUGCAUCAACACGCAUCCAAGUACAUUCAAAGAAGUAUUAUUAUAGACCACAUAAUUACCACUAUCGUCUGGGAGUGCGAAAACAGAUGCAUGAGUGAGGGAAUACUUUACUUGCUGAAGCUCUACUCACAAUUUUUUUUUUUUAUCCCACUCAAACUUAACCUCUUUUCUCAUCAAUCUCGCCAAGGGCGAAGCAAUAAUUAAAAUCUUGGACGAACUAUCGAUAAUAUCCUGCUAAUCCGAGAAAACUCUGAACCUCAGUCACAGUUCGCAAUUGUUCCAAAUUCUCAAUCGUUGCUACUCUUUUAAGAAUCCAUUUGAAUACCUUAAGUAGAUAUAAUUAAUUUAUCCAACAUUAGCAUUUGCUAAACUUAGCAUACAUCAACGUUCCCUCAAUCUUUGCAACACCAACUUUAAAUAUCUAGCAUGCACUGCUCUAAUCUUAUCAAUCUCGUCAAUGGCAAACAAUAACAACCCGGUCCAGAUAUCACUGGAAUACUUCCUUCAGCAAACUCAUAAAAGUAGCAGGUGCAUUCGUCACUCCGUAUGGCCUCCCAACUUGAAAUGACCAUAACGAGUCCUGGAUUCAGUCUUAUGAACAUCCCCACUGUUAAUCUUCAACUAAUAUCAUUCAGACCUCAAGUCAAUCUCAGAAAGUACCCAGGCGCCUCAGAGCUGAUCAAAUAAUCAUCAAUACACAACAAUGGAUAACAGCUCUCAAUCGUUACCCGAUUCAAUUACAUAAUAUCAAUGCCUAGCCUUAAUGUCCAUUUUCUUCCUCACAAAUAACCCGGAGCUUUUCCAAUGUGAUAUAAUAAGUUGAAUGGAACUUUUAACUCAACCUGAACCAAUCUCUAACAUAGGAUUUGUACCUAAAAACAAUUCAAUAAUAAAACCCACAUCUCUGCCUGGCGGCAAUCUAGGUAAGGCAUCUGGGAAUACACCAAGAAAAUGUCUAACCAUCUUUACAUCUUCCAUACUAUUAGGAUCAACAUCAUUUAGCACCAUAUGAACUCAAUAUCUUGGCAGCCUUUUGAUAACAAUCUUCUUUGCUCUCUCAACAGGAAUAAUGGCAUAACUCACUCCACUUUACUUACCCCCAAAAGUAACCUCUGGUCAUCCAGGUCAACAAAAAAUUAACUGAUUCCCCAUAGCAAUCUAGCUUGACACAAUUAUACAUUUCCUCUACCAGAGUCAUCUUGUCUCAGAAAUCUGGGAUCACUAGUAAAUCUAUCACUUCGCCUCUGACCAGUGGCAGUAAAACUUAAGCUGGGAAAAUUAGCUCUAAUUUCACUUCCUUUGAAGCUCUGAGUCCUCCGAGGUCUUUGAUAUGACGAAUCUUUCUUUAACUUUAUCGUCUUAUUCUGAUUCUCAUUCCUUUCUUAUUCCUCUUUACUCUCGCUGAUCAUAUUCUCAAAGUCUUCAAAGCCCAACAGCAUCCCGUAAACUCUUGGUAAAAAGUACAAUGGAUAGUGAUCGCCAAAGAACGCAACUUCUUCUUAUCAUCCAGCCAAAAACGACAUAACACCUCGACCGAAUUAACAACAUCAUCAGAAUGGAAAUAAGGCAAGUCUGUAAGCUUUCUAUAAUAUUCAUCCGUCGUCAUUUUCCUCGUCUCACAUUUGCAAUUUCUUGUUUACUACCAUCACAAUAUGCCGGGGGGAAUAAACUUUUCUUAAACAAUUCUUUAAACAACUUCCAAACAGUUGUCCUUCCGAUAUUGUCGGAUAACAUUCCUAUCUCCAUCAAAAUGCAGAUUCAUCACUCAAAAACUAGGUAAUCAUCUCGACCUACCUAUCGGGAGGAAAAUUCCCUUAACCUUGCAUAAUCUGAAACGCCUUUUCCCAAUUGAUUAAGCCAUCAAUCUGCUCCCUUAGGUCCUUAGGGAUUCAAAUUUAACUUAUAACCAGUCUCAAAAGGUCCCUUCAGAUAAUAGACUGAAUCACAAUGGCAAUAGUUUCCCCCCAAACUACUAUAUCAGGGAAAUUAGGCUCAUCCGAACUACGUGGCUCGCUACGAGGCGGUAUAGUUCUGACAGAAGACACUAGGAAAUUAUCAAGAUGUCCAGAAUUGCAACCUAGGCUCUGAUACCAACUGACACACCCCGUCCCGAAGGAGGGCGUGCUGGCCGUCACGUGAGAGUGACGUAACCAUUUACACAGUUCGGAAGCUUUAAAAAAAAAUUCCAAUUACUAAGAUAACACACCCGAGGGUGAGUCCUACUUUUGUGAAUUCUGUCAGAACACCGUUGGAUUCCUCGUGGCCACCAAAGCUCUGCUAACUUGAACCUGGAGGGGCGCAAAACAAAAUUGAGUGGGUCAGUAAAACAAAGUUUUUCGAAGACUUUUCAUUUAAAACAUUUAUAACCCCUCACCGUAAAACCUGUAUACUUUCCCAGAAAAUAGCAUAUAUAUAACAUAUAUAUAAGCAAAAAGCUCAAAUCUCAAACCUUUAACACUUUUCAGAAAUAUAUAUAUAUAUAUAUAUAUAGAUAUAUAACCAUAUGAAAUCUCAAAGCUUGAAUCCCAAAUCUUUAACAUUUUUCAAGAAAAACAUGCCAUGCCAUAAAUCAAAAUAUAAAUCAGGUGAAAUAAGGAAUCAAUCGGAGACCCUGCAGUUGGUCCUAUACGAUUAAUUCAAUAGCUCAAUAUCUCACUAAGCCGGAGUCACCACAGUGACCUAUACGGCCCUACUCUGCACAUCACUCGGAACUACGUAAGGUAGUCUAUACGAUGAAAGGUGUAAAAUACGCUCUAGUGCUUCUCUCAUCAUAUCAUCAGCGCGCAUAUCUAAGGUCACCCACCAGUCGGAACCCCCUCUAAUGGUCUGUACGACUGGCAUGUCGGAACCCUCACAUGGUCUGUACGACAUCCACCUACUUGGAUCCAAGGCGAGCGUGCGGUGUGGUGAAUAAUAUAAGCACUAACACCUAGGGUGCAGAUUAUGAGCUCAAACAUCUCAACAACAACAAUUCAAUGAAUAAACGAACUCACCUGACUUACCUGUGCCUCCACAGCACCAUGCAACAUGUAUGCAUCAUAUAUCAAUCAUAUAACUCAUAUGAAAUUCACAUUUUCCAAAUAAUUCUAUGCAUGGCAUUUUCAAAACAUAAUUUCGCAUAAAAGCAUUUUUUCUGGGAAAAACAAUAGUAUAUAGGUAAUACGAAAACAAAACUGCCCACUCACCUGGAGUUCGCCCACAACUCCCUAGCACCGUACAUCAAGGCGUCAUGACGAUUAGCGCCUAGAACAACAAUCAAAUCCAACCUCAGAAAUUCUGCCGAUAGAAUACAUAACUUAUAUAAGACACGUCACUACGUAGUUCGAUCCGGAUGAUCUGCAAUUCAGAUUUUCAAAUCCGUAACUUCCAGAGGUCCACAAUAUACCUCUAGGACAACAUCCUAAAAUUUCAUUACCAUCCAACGGUCGGAUCUUCGUCAAUUUCCAAAACUAAGUGACGGUUAACAUUCUAUUUUAUGAACUUACAACUUCAAUUCCAGAAGAUCCGUAAAUCGGAUUCCCAAUCCGUAAGUUCCUAUAAUCCUCAAAUAUUACGUAUUACAACGUAUCAAAGUUUGAUGACGAUCCAACGGUCGGAUCGUCAAUUCACAUUUUCAUCUAACCACGAAUCGUAACCAACUUAGGUUCAAUUAUUCAAUUUACGUCCAUCAAUUAUCAAAACAGAACCUAGAACCUUAAUCACAAGCUAAUAAUGACAUUGGCGGGCCAUUGGCCACGCGCCGCCGCGCGGGCCGCCGCGGGUGGCGGUUGGCCGCCCCCGGCUCGCCGGAAAAUUCAACUAUUUCCAAAAAUUACCAAAAUUUGCAGAUUUGAAGAUCUCAAUGAGUAGAACAACUUUCAUACCUGAGACCAAGGCCAAUUUGGCCUGGAAGUGCUUCAAUUUCACCAAAACCGUGAAGAACCCUAGAAUUGGGUGUUUCCAAUUCGACCUUCAAACUUGUUCCAACGCCUCAAUUACCUCUUGGGCUUUGUUUUAGGUCCUAAGGGAAUGCUAAUGGUGUUAGUAAUUGAAAGAAAACAUUUCAAAAUUUGGAGAAUUUAAACAAAAGGGUCGCGGCACCCGUAGGGGUGUUCUUCGCGAAAUCACAACGAAAUUCAAUGAUUCUUGGGGUGAAACGUGAAGAGGGAAGGCCUAGAUGAUGAUUAGGAGUGGUACCUUGAUUCAAUUCGUCGGAAAAUUGGACGAAAAUGGCGAAAACCCGCCGAUUGGAAGUCGCGGGUCGCGCGGGUAUACGGGUUGGGGAAAACCCAUUUCUUCCUUCUCUCCUCCGCUUCUCGCCCUCUCUCCUUUCCUCCUUUCCUUCCUCUAGUUGGUCAGCUUCUCCCUCUCUCUUCUCCCCAUUCGGUCUCUCCUCCUUCUUCUCCGAUUGGGCAGCUUUGCCCAAUC
rnacentral:lncRNA from 1 species